rnacentral:rRNA from 1 species
GAUGAACGCUAGCGGCAGGCUUAACACAUGCAAGUCGAGGGGUAGUUUACUUCGGUAAAUGAGACCGGCGCACGGGUGCGUAACGCGUAUGCAAUCUACCUUGUACAGGGGGAUAGCCCAGAGAAAUUUGGAUUAAUACCCCAUAGUAUUAUGAUGUGGCAUCACAUUAUUAUUAAAGUUCCAACGGUACAAGAUGAGCAUGCGUCCCAUUAGCUAGUUGGUGUGGUAACGGCAUACCAAGGCAACGAUGGGUAGGGGUCCUGAGAGGGAGAUCCCCCCACACUGGUACUGAGACACGGACCAGACUCCUACGGGAGGCAGCAGUGAGGAAUAUUGGGCAAUGGUCGCAAGACUGACCCAGCCAUGCCGCGUGCAGGAUGACGGUCCUAUGGAUUGUAAACUGCUUUUGUACAGGAAGAAACACUGGUACGUGUACCAGCUUGACGGUACUGUAAGAAUAAGGAUCGGCUAACUCCGUGCCAGCAGCCGCGGUAAU